rnacentral:rRNA from 1 species
CCCUUAGAUGUUCUGGGCAGCACGCGCGCUACAAUGGUCUUCGCAAACGGAUGCAUUCUCGAAGGAGAAUGCCAAUCUUGGAAUCUAUGCCUUGGUCGGGACAGUUGCUUGCAAUUUUUCGACUCGAACCAGGAAUUCCUUGUAAUCGUGAUUCAUCACAUCACGAUGAAUACGUCCCUGCCCUUUGUACACACCGCCCGUCGCUCCCUCCGAUUGGACGUUCCGGUGAAUAUUAUGGACUGAGAGUACAAGUCGGUUCGCCGAUCUUUGCUACUCGGGAAGUAAAGUAAACCUUAACGUUUAGAGGAAGGAGAAGUCGUAACA